rnacentral:rRNA from 1 species
UUCCAGACUCCUACGGGAGGCAGCAGUGGGGGAUAUUGCACAAUGGGGGGAACCCUGAUGCAGCGACGCCGCGUGGGUGAAGAAGCGCCUCGGCGCGUAAAGCCCUGUCAGCAGGGAAGAAAAUGACGGUACCUGAAGAAGAAGCCCCGGCUAACUACGUGCCAGCAGCCGCGGUAAUACGUAGGGGGCAAGCGUUAUCCGGAUUUACUGGGUGUAAAGGGGGCGCAGACGGCGAUGCAAGCCAGGAGUGAAAGCCCGGGGCCCAACCCCAGGACUGCUCUUGGAACUGCGUGGCUGGAGUGCAGGAGGGGCAGGCGGAAUUCCUAGUGUAGCGGUGAAAUGCGUAGAUAUUAGGAGGAACACCAGUGGCGAAGGCGGCCUGCUGGGCUUUUACUGGCGCUGAGGCUCGAAAGUGUGGGGAGCAAACAGGAUUAGAUACCCUGGUAC